UAACUGCGAGUGAAGCGGGAAAAGCUCAAAUUUCGAAUCUGGCGGUCCCCCGGGCCGUCCGAGUUGUAAUCUAGAGAAGCGUCUUCCGCGCUGGACCGUGUACAAGUCUCCUGGAAGGGAGCAUCGUAGAGGGUGACAAUCCCGUCUCUGACACGGAUUCCCAGGGCUAUGUGAUGCGCUCUCGACGAGUCGAGUUGUUUGGGAAUGCAGCUCUAAUUGGGUGGUAAACUCCAUCUAAAGCUAAAUAUGGGCGAGAGACCGAUAGCGAACAAGUACCGUGAGGGAAAGAUGAAAAGAACUUUGGAAAGAGAGUUAAACAGUACGUGAAAUUGCUGGAAGGGAAACGCUUGAAGUCAGUCGCGUCGGCCGGGGAUCAACCUUGCUUUCUUGCUGGGCGUAAUUCCUGAUCGACGGGUCAGCAUCGAUUUCGGUCGUCGUAGAAGGAUGGAAGCGAACGUGGCACUCCCUCGGGAGUGUGUUAUAGCCUUCCAUAAGGAUGCGACGRCUGGGAUCGAGGAACUUCGGCACGACCCCUCGAGGGUUCGGGGCCUUUUGKCUCACGUAGCGUGCUCAGGAUGCUGKCAUAAUGGCUUCAAGCGACCCGUCUUGAAACACGGACCAAGGAGUCUAACAUGCCUGCGAGUGUUUGGGUGGAAAACCCGGGCGCGAAAUGAAAGUGAAAGCUGKGACCUCUGUCGCGGAGGGCACCGGCGCCCGGACCUGAGCCUUUGGCGACGGAUCUGCGGUGSAGCAUGUAUGUUGGGACCCGAAAGAUGGUGAACUAUGCCUGAAUAGGGUGAAGCCAGAGGAAACUCUGGUGGAGGCUCGUAGCGAUUCUGACGUGCAAAUCGAUCGUCGAAUUUGRGUAUAGGGCGAAAGACUAAU
rnacentral:rRNA from 1 species